UGGGGAAUUUUGGACAAUGGGCGAAAGCCUGAUCCAGCAAUGCCGCGUGUGUGAAGAAGGCCUUCGGGUUGUAAAGCACUUUUGUCCGGAAAGAAAUCCUUGGCUCUAAUACAGUCGGGGGAUGACGGUACCGGAAGAAUAAGCACCGGCUAACUACGUGCCAGCAGCCGCGGUAAUACGUAGGGUGCAAGUGUUAAUCGGAAUUACUGGGCGUAAAGCGUGCGCAGGCGGUUUGCUAAGACCGAUGUGAAAUCCCCGGGCUCAACCUGGGAACUGCAUUGGUGACUGGCAGGCUAGAGUAUGGCAGAGGGGGGUAGAAUUCCACGUGUAGCAGUGAAAUGCGUAGAGAUGUGGAGGAAUACCGAUGGCGAAGGCAGCCCCCUGGGCCAAUACUGACGCUCAUGCACGAAAGCGUGGGGAGCAAACAGGAUUAGAUACCCUGGUAGUCCACGCCCUAAAACGAUGUCAACUAGUUGUUGGGGAUUCAUUUCCUUAGUAACGUAGCUAACGCGUGAAGUUGACCGCCUGGGGAGUACGGUCGCAAGAUUAAAACUUAAAUGAAUUGACGGGGUCAUAGCUGUUUCCU
rnacentral:rRNA from 1 species